UAGGGAAUAUUGUGCAAUGGGCGAAAGCCUGACACAGCCAUGCCGCGUGUGUGAAGAAGGCCCUAGGGUUGUAAAGCACUUUCAGUGGCGAAGAAAAACGCCAUGCUAAUACCAUGGUGUCUUGACGUUAACCACAGAAGAAGUACCGGCUAACUCCGUGCCAGCAGCCGCGGUAAUACGGAGGGUACGAACGUUAAUCGGAAUUACUGGGCGUAAAGCGCGCGUAGGCGGUUCGGUAAGUGAGGUGUGAAAUCCCCGGGCUCAACCUGGGAACUGCGCUUCAAACUGGCGGACUAGAGUGUAGUAGAGGGAGGCGGAAUUUCCUGUGUAGCGGUGAAAUGCGUAGAUAUAGGAAGGAACACCAGUGGCGAAGGCGGCCUCCUGGACUAACACUGACGCUGAGGCGCGAAAGCGUGGGGAGCAAACAGGAUUAGAUACCCCCGUAGUCC
rnacentral:rRNA from 1 species